rnacentral:lncRNA from 1 species
GUCAAUCAUAGCUUUUGUCUCUGGAGACAUGUUUUGCUAAGGAUCGCAGAUCCACCCUGGAAAAGCUCCUGAUCUUAAUCGUCCUUCUACACCUGAGAUGGUUAAGAUUUUGUUCUUGUGCCAUCCUUAAAGGCACUCUUCUGUCCCUUCUCCACUGUCCUGCUCCUGAGAAAUAACACAGUUUGAUUCAAGGUACUUCCCUUUUCUGUGGCUGCUGGAUUUCAAGACAAAGCUUCCAGAAUGCGGACCUGUUGUACCGGUUCUUCACAAUGUGCUUCCUAGGAGUGGAGGAACAGUGAUGGGCCGUGUUACCUGGUAAACUACUUUCCACCUUUCCAGCCACCAUGCCGUGGGCACCUUUUCUCCAGCUACAGUGUUGUGCCUCACCUCAGCCCCAAAGCAGUGAAGCUGGCUGAUCAUGGACUGAGACGUCUGAAACCAUGAAGCAAAAUAAACCUUUCUCCUUUAAGUUGACUUUCUCAGGUAUUUUGUCACAGUGAUGAAAAGCUGGCCAACACAGGCUUAAAGAUCAGCAAAAUGGAGCUGGAGGCUACUGACAGAAGAGUGUUUCCUCCUGCCUGGACAUGUCCACAGGGUCCUACCUCAACUAUCCUAACAAACAGUGUGGUAUCUGCACAUGUGUAUCAGCCUCAAGAAAGCUUUAUGUUUCAAGGAUUUUAUUUGAAGUUCCUG